GAUGAACGCUGGCGGUGUGCCUAAUACAUGCAAGUCGUACGCAUUCUCGUUUCUGAUUGACGGUGCUUGCACCUAAUUGACGAGACAUUGGAAUGAGUGGCGGACGGGUGAGUAACACGUGGGUAACCUGCCCAGAAGCGGGGGAUAACAUUUGGAAACAGAUGCUAAUACCGCAUAAAAGUCAAAACCACAUGGUUUUGAUUUGAAAGAUGGCCUUUGUGCUAUCACUUCUGGAUGGACCCGCGGCGUAUUAGCUAGUUGGUAAGGUAACGGGUUAACAAGGCAAUGAAACGUAGCCGAACUGAGAGGUUGAUCGGCCACAAUGGGACUGAGACACGGCCCAUACUCCUACGGGAGGCAGCAGUAGGGAAUCUUCCACAAUGGGCGCAAGCCUGAUGGAGCAACACCGCGUGAGUGAAGAAGGGUUUCGGCUCGUAAAACUCUGUUGUUAAAGAAGAACGUAUCUAAGAGUAACUGCUUAGGUAGUGACGGUAUUUAACCAGAAAGCCACGGCUAACUACGUGCCAGCCGCCGCCGUAA
rnacentral:rRNA from 1 species